CGGCGGCGGCGGCGGCGGCGGCGGCCUCCCGCGCGUGCGCUCAGCCCCUCCAGCCGCGGCGGGGGGGCUCUUCCUCCCUACCCUCCUCCCUUCGGUCGGGAGUGCGCAGCUCCCGUCUCCUUCCCGCCGCCCCUGGGCUUCCUCCAGAACUCACGGCGCGAGAGCAUUGCCUUUGGCUAAAGGAAGCUGCCUAGCCUAGAGAAAUGUAAGAUGUCAUGCUCCCUUUGGUGAUAGAUGACUGAAUAAUAUGAAGAUUGAAGCCCAACCAUCUUGUUUCAAGCUUUUCCUGGUGGCCUUAUCAAUAAUGUUGAUCAGUGUGAUGCCUGGGUGGCUCAGUUGGUUAAGUGUCUGCUUGGGCUCAGGUCAAUCACAAGGUCCUGGGAUCAAGUCCUGCAUCGGGCUCCUUGCUCAACAGGGAGACUGCCUCUCCCUCUGCCUGCCACUCCCCCUGCUUGUGCUCUCUC